CCUACGGGUGGCAGCAGUGGGGAAUAUUGGACAAUGGGCGAAAGCCUGAUCCAGCCAUGCCGCGUGUGUGAAGAAGGCCUUUUGGUUGUAAAGCACUUUAAGCGGGGAGGCAUUACCCGCAGAAUAAGCACCGGCUAACUCUGUGCCAGCAGCCGCGGCAAUACAGAGGGUGCGAGCGUUAAUCGGAAUUACUGGGCGUAAAGCGCGCGUAGGCGGCUUGUUAAGUCGGAUGUGAAAUCCCUGGGCUCAACCUAGGCAUUGCAUUCGAUACUGGCAAGCUAGAGUAUGGGAGAGGAAGGUAGAAUUCCAGGUGUAGCGGUGAAAUGCGUAGAGAUCUGGAGGAAUACCGAUGGCGAAGGCAGCCUUCUGGCCUAAACUGACGCUGAGGUGCGAAAGCAUGGGGAGCAAACAGGAUUAGAUACCCUUGUAGUC
rnacentral:rRNA from 1 species